rnacentral:misc_RNA from 1 species
GAUGAAGAACGUAGCGAAAUGCGAUAAGUAAUGUGAAUUGCAGAAUUCAGUGAAUCAUCGAAUCUUUGAACGCACAUUGCGCCCCCUGGUAUUCCGGGGGGCAUGCCUGUUCGAGCGUCAUUUCACCACUCAAGCCUCGCUUGGUAUUGGGCAUCGCGGUCCGCCGCGCGCCUCAAAUCGACCGGCUGGGUCUUCUGUCCCCUAAGCGUUGUGGAAACUAUUCGCUAAAGGGUGUUCGGGAGGCUACGCCGUAAAACAACCCCAUUUCUAAGGUUGACCUCGGAUCAGGUAGGGAUACCCGCUGAACUUAAGCAUAUCAAAAGCGGAGGA